GUGGGGAAUAUUGGACAAUGGGCGAAAGCCUGAUCCAGCCAUGCCGCGUGUGUGAAGAAGGUCUUCGGAUUGUAAAGCACUUUAAGUUGGGAGGAAGGGCAGUAAGCUAAUACCUUGCUGUUUUGACGUUACCGACAGAAUAAGCACCGGCUAACUCUGUGCCAGCAGCCGCGGUAAUACAGAGGGUGCAAGCGUUAAUCGGAAUUACUGGGCGUAAAGCGCGCGUAGGUGGUUCGUUAAGUUGGAUGUGAAAGCCCCGGGCUCAACCUGGGAACUGCAUCCAAAACUGGCGAGCUAGAGGACGGUAGAGGGUGGUGGAAUUUCCUGUGUAGCGGUGAAAUGCGUAGAUAUAGGAAGGAACACCAGUGGCGAAGGCGACUACCUGGACUGAUACUGACACUGAGGUGCGAAAGCGUGGGGAGCAAACAGGAUUAGAAACCCGGGUAGUCC
rnacentral:rRNA from 1 species